GCAGUCGCCGCGGUAAUACAGAGGGUGCGAGCGUUAAUCGGAUUUACUGGGCGUAAAGCGUGCGUAGGCGGCUUUUUAAGUCGGAUGUGAAAUCCCUGAGCUUAACUUAGGAAUUGCAUUCGAUACUGGGAAGCUAGAGUAUGGGAGAGGAUGGUAGAAUUCCAGGUGUAGCGGUGAAAUGCGUAGAGAUCUGGAGGAAUACCGAUGGCGAAGGCAGCCAUCUGGCCUAAUACUGACGCUGAGGUACGAAAGCAUGGGGAGCAAACAGGAUUAGAUACCCCUGUAGUCCCUGUCUCUUAUAC
rnacentral:rRNA from 1 species